rnacentral:rRNA from 1 species
AUUGAACGCUGGCGGCAGGCCUAACACAUGCAAGUCGAACGAGUGGCGGACGGGUGAGUAAUGUCUGGGAAACUGCCCGAUGGAGGGGGAUAACUACUGGAAACGGUAGCUAAUACCGCAUACCAUCGGAUGUGCCCAGAUGGGAUUAGCUAGUAGGUGGGGUAACGGCUCACCUAGGCGACGAUCCCUAGCUGGUCUGAGAGGAGGACCAUCCACACUGGAACUGCGACACGGUCCCGACUCCUACGGUAGGCAGCAGUGGGGAAUAUUGCACAGUGGGCGCAAGCCGGAUACAGCCAUGCCGCGUGUAUGAAGAAUGCCUUCGGGUUGUAAAGUACUUUCAGCGAGGAGGCGUUACUCGCAGAAGAAGCACCGGCUAACUCCGUGCCAGCAGCCGCGGUAAUAC